GAUGAACGCUAGCGGCAGGCCUAAUACAUGCAAGUCGAACGAGUAUUGUUUAGCAAUAGAACAUGAAAGUGGCGCACGGGUGCGUAACACGUAUGCAAUCUACCUUUAAUAGGAGAAUAGCUUCGAGAAAUCGGAAUUAAUACUCCAUAACAUAAUUGAGUGGCAUCACUUGGUUAUCAAACCUCCGGGGAUUAAAGAUGAGCAUGCGCAACAUUAGCUAGUUGGUAAGGUAAUGGCUUACCAAGGCUACGAUGUUUAGGGGGUCUGAGAGGAUGAUCCCCCACACUGGUACUGAGACACGGACCAGACUCCUACGGGAGGCAGCAGUAGGGAAUAUUGGGCAAUGGAGGCAACUCUGACCCAGCCAUGCCGCGUGUAGGAAGAAUGCCCUCUGGGUUGUAAACUACUUUUAUACGGGAAGAAAAAAUACUACGUGUAGUAUACUGACGGUACCGUAAGAAUAAGGAUCGGCUAACUCCGUG
rnacentral:rRNA from 1 species